UUACUGCUAUGGCAUGAGUUGUAUCCCUGGCACCAGAACUUCUGCAUGAUUUGGGCAUGUCCAAAAAUAUGUUGGCCUAUAAUUUUCCUUUUGGGUGGUACUUUUGUCUGCUUUUGGUAUGAGGGUGCUAGUGGCUUCUUAGAAUAUAAUUAUUAUAUGAACUAGCAAUCCAUUCCUGGGCCCAUACCAGAAUAAAACAACAGUUCAUAAAGAAUUGUACCCUGUGUUCAUCACAGCACAAUUCACAAUAGCCAAGACUUGAAAACAACCUAAAUGUCCAUUCACUGAAGAAUGGAUUAAGAAGAGUGCUAUAUAUAUAUAAUGGAAUACUACUCAGCCAUGAAAAGAAUGAAAUAAUGCCAUUUUCAGCGACAUGGAUACAACUAGAGAUUCUCAUACUAAGUGAAGUAAAUCAGAAAGAGAAAAGCAAAAACCAUAUGGUAUCACCUGUAGAUAGAAUAUAAAAUAUGGCACAAAUGAACCUAUCUGCAAAAAAGGAAUAGACUCACAGACAUAGAGAACAGACUUAUGGUUACCAGGGGUGAGGGAGGAAGAGAGAAAGAUGAACUAGAAGUUUAGAGUUAGUAAAUGAAAACUAUUGCAUUUAGAAUGGAUAAACAAGAAGUUCCUACUGUAUAGCAUAUGGAACUAUAUCCAAUCCCCUGGAAUAAACCAUAAUGGAAAAGAGUAUUUUUAAAAAGAAUGUGUAUGUGUGUAUAACUAAAUCUUUGCCAUAUAGAAGAAAUGAGCACAACAUUGUGCAUCCACUAGCUUUAAUUUAAAAAAAAUAUGAAAAUUCAAACAUAGCAUUGAAAAUUAACUUGAGGUCAAUCUUGGUUAUAGUGAAAAUGAGAUGCUACCCUUAUAACAAAAAAGCAGUAUAUUCAGGAAUAUAAAAAAUAUUUUCCUGUCUAGUACAGUAUCGUUCAUAUUUCUUCUGUAUAUAAAGGUUGUGCUCAGCCCCAAAUACAAGUUGACAUAUUUUCUAGGGUAUGAAUAAAUCAGUGUUUCCCAACCUGUGUAGUUUACCCACCUUCCACAGUUUGUGGAUUAUAGAGUUUACUUUUAAUCACGUUUUAUUUUUCAUUAUUGUGCAGAUACAUUUUUGUUAUUUCCCUUAAUUUUCUUUUCCUGAAAUAUGGUCAACAAUGUAACUAUCUGUGAAAGAAGUGUAAAUACUGACCUCUGUUAAAGGGAAUGUUUAUUAUAAGUGUGGCACAGAACUUUAAAUGGUAGAUCUCUUAGAUAUAUUCUAUUAUUCAAUAUGAAUUCUGCUGUUUUUAAAUUGGAUCCUCAAAGGUUUAGGGAUGUUUAGACAUUUGUAUCACUGGAGAUAAUUAUUAAAAAUCUGUUCUGGUAUAAUCUGAGCUGAGGAAAAUAAAAGGGCUGCAAUAAAUAUUCUAACAAGCUUAAUUUAUGAGAAAAAAAUAGUUCAAUGGCUUUUAAACUAAUGUAGAGGUUUGUUCCUGUCUCUAGAGAGUAGUAAAAUACAGGAUUAGGUAUAGAAGUUGACUAUUUAUAAUAGAUAAAAACAUAGUCCAAGAUUAAUGGCCAGGUGUUUUGCUUACUGCUUAUAUAUCUAUCUGGUUUGAAAACUGUCCCAAGAUUGUGUUCUGUGAAAUUAAAUCUUACAUGAAUAUCUUUGAAUACGGAUACAAAUUUUCUACCUGGUGCUUUACCAAACACUUGCUGUAUUGGGGUUCAGGCCACUUUGAGCUAUUAAAAGCCAAAACAAUUUAGUUUUCUAUUUUAAUGAGCUCUUUUGCACCAUAGUAAUUUUGAAAUGUCAGUUUAAUCAAUAAUAUGUACAGUACCAGAGCCUUUGGGCAUUUAAAAUGUCAAUUGUUUAAUUUUGAAAAAUGGAUAUUGGCCUUACAAAAUCAUCUGGUCAAGCAUUUGCAUUACAUUAUGCUUAGUGCAGAGACUUACUUUGUACAUAGAAUAUCUUCAUCAAUUAUAUCAAUACGAUGUAAGGCUUGGGCAUCUUUACAUGUGAUAUCCAAUUACCAGAUCUUAGAGCCUGAUUAAUUUUCCCAAUUUUCUUUUCCACACAGUGCAACACAAUGGCAGAAAGAGAGAAAAUUAAGCUGCUAUAAAACUGCUCAAUUUAUACUGUUAGAACUUUUGGUUAUUGAUGCUCUCUCUUGUUCCACAAAACCUACCCAACAGAUAAAUCACAUACUUGUAUAUAUGGAUAAGACAUUAUCGUGCAGCCAUACAACACCCUAGAAUGCAUGCAUGACUUUUAGAACUGACUCUACAGGUAAUGGUACAAGUGAGUGGUUGGACACACACACACACACACACACACACACGCAUACAUAACACAUGAAAAUAAAUAGCUAGAUAAUUUAAGGUAAAAAUACAAAAUUCCCUUUAAGGAAUCCUAGGGAGUACCACAAAGACAAGAGGGUCAUUCUCCAAAAUGACUAAAAUUUAGAAGUAAUGAAAUAUCUAUGUGAAGAUCAAUUAUGAGAGACAUGAUAUAAUAUGAUUCCAAAAAUAAAUAAAUCUAAUAGAUUUCACAUAAAAGCCUUAAAUGGGAAGUCAAAAUAAUUGAUUUUUCUCAUGGAUAAUGUAAUUAUUAUCAAAGCAGAAAUUUAUUUAAUGACAUCUAAAUGUUCUCCUGGGAAGGACAUCAAUUUUUUGCUAUUGUAAUGGUAAUUAAUAAAGCUGUCAAUUGAGCACUUGCUAUUUACCAACCACUGUGCUUUGACUUUGCAUAAAUGAACUCCUUAUUUUUUAGGAUAAUUCCUCAUUUGAAGAUGAACACUUCAUAACUCACUGAGGUUAAGUUCCUUGCCAAAAUUACAUAGACUAUAAGUGAAAUUCAAACUCAGGUCUGUCUCAUGUUAAAAUUUAUUCUCUUUACCAGUGUAACCACUGUACCUAUUACCUCUCCUCCACCAGGUGCCAUAGACUCUGAAAUUUCACAUCAGGGAUUCAUAUGUUUUGAUUGGUAAUAGCUGCUUUACUAGUUUUCAAAAAAUGCACCUUAAAGGAGCCCCACACUGCAUUAUUUGCAUAUUAUAGUGAUUACUUCAUAACAGUAUAUGUGGGGAACUCAAGGGAACCAGAAAGAAAAAUACAGCAUUUGAAGGAAAGAGCUAGAUUAAAA
rnacentral:lncRNA from 1 species